CUGGUGUCAGCCGCCGCGGUAAUACCAGCACCCCGAGUGGUCGGGACGUUUAUUGGGCCUAAAGCAUCCGUAGCCGGUUCUACAAGUCUUCCGUUAAAUCCAACUGCUUAACAGGUGGGCUGCGGAAGAUACUAUAGAGCUAGGAGGCGGGAGAGGCAAGCGGUACUCGAUGGGUAGGGGUAAAAUCCGUUGAUCCAUUGAAGACCACCGGUGGCGAAGGCGGCUUGCCAGAACGCGCUCGACGGUGAGGGAUGAAAGCUGGGGGAGCAAACCGGAUUAGAUACCCGGGUAGUCCCAGCUGUAAACGAUGCAGACUCGGUGAUGAGUUGGCUACAUGCCAUCUCAGUGCCGCAGGGAAGCCGUUAAGUUUGCCGCCUGGGGAGUACGGUCGCAAGACUGAAACUUAAAG
rnacentral:rRNA from 2 species